UCCAAACUUAUUUUUCCGCCUCCGUCACCUCACCUGACCCAAUAAUUUGCCCCGUUCUUGCAUGCACCGCAUCCAUCUCGAAUGGAGCUCGUCGCCGGCACCAUCGGCAGCAUAUUAUCCGGUGCAGGCAAAGAGGUUCUUGUAGAAGUUGUGAGAUUGAUCCACAAGCAGGAAUUGAAUGGCUGUCGAGGAAAUUGGAAAGAAUUUCUGAACUCCUACGACAGGAAAUUUGGUGAUUCUUUGUGUGAUCCUUCAAAAGGUCGGUGGAUGUUCUUGUAGCUUUUCUAAAGAGCUUCAACCAGACCGAAGACUUCAUGCUUAUUGGUAAAUUAGUCAGGUAUUUAAGGGAUCAGAAAGCCCUUGAGUAGUAAUUAAAGAACUCCAUGGAUGAAGAGUCCCCUGAACAGAGGCUAGUUCGAUUGACUAUGGAGCACCCACAGUAUAGAAGACAGUAUUCUUUUUACUGUUAUAAUAAGGUUUUCUUUUACCUUUGCCAGGUCAUUUGGUUUAUUGUAUUGGAUACUGUUGUUAUAGUGCUAGAUUCUUGUACAAUUAGAUGCACUUUUAUUUAUCGCAAUGUAUUUUUUGUAAAAAUGUUCUAUGUAUGGCUUUAAUGAAUAAGCAUCUUCAGUGAUUUUUUUUU